rnacentral:rRNA from 1 species
UACUACAGCCAUAUCACCCUGCAACCCAAGCUAAGCAGGGCUGAGCCUGGUCAGUACAUGGAUGGGAGACCACAUGGGAAAAACUAGGUUGCUGUUGAAA